AGCUCCCUCUUUGCCCACUAGCAGGGCAUUAGCUGGUGCUGAAGACAGUGGCUGCUUGGCGAGCCUGGAUCUCCAAGUGACCCCCUCAGCAACUCCUGAUGAACAGGUACUGUGUGCAGAAAUGUAAUUGAGAUUCAAGUCAGGGCCUCUGCCCUUUUCCCUCCAGAAACAAAACCAAGAUAAUUUAUCCUGAACACACACGGUGAAAAAAGGAAGGGAAGGGGGAGAAAAAGUCCAGGUCUUACCUGGGAUUCUCUGUCUCCUGCAACAUGAAGGAUUUAGCCUGGGAGGAGGUGGUGAGAACUCUGGGAGAGAAAAAAGAAGGAAAGAAUAGUUUUACCCAUGCUGAAGUUAAACCUUCACCUAGAG
rnacentral:antisense_RNA from 1 species